AUCAACUGGCUAGUUAUCCUCCAGACAGUGACGAUCCGGACCACGUCUUUCUCAUUUCGGCCGUGUGGCGCGCAUCCCCGCUCGCGGUGUGAAGCGCGUAUGCGCUAUCCUCCGAAAUGCACCUUUUGUGCAGCAAAUUAUUAUUAUUUUGGACGAUCUAGUUAAGGCGGUAGGGUUUCCAAGCUUUGGCGGGCCACCUGAACUGAAAUGUGCUGCGGGAAACCCUGGUUCAGUGUGAAUGGGGAUUGUGACAAUGACAAGCGAACUUCUCAAGACGAAAAGGAAGAGCUUUAUUUUCGGUACAUCAUUUAGUACAUAGUACAUAAUUGUCUUAGUUUCGUCCUGCUCUGUGCUUGUAUGACAUUGUUGCCUGAAAAUAACAGCAAGCCAGGCCCUGACAGCUGCCUAAUUUACUUGUGUCACCAGGGCGACUUAAUUGAGCAGCAGACCUUCUGACAGCACGUUCACAGACAGCGCAAGAAAGGUGGUGGCGUCUGCUUUUUUGAUGCACGUGGAACAACCAAGGUCACUUUAAUUAACUGCCAAAUUGCUAUUUAAAUGAUGAUAGUGAUCAUUCACUUUGCAAUAUACCAAAGCUACUUGCUGUCAUGGUAAUUUAGCGCCGUGGGGGGAGCGGACGUCUCGCGCGCUGCCACGUAGCAGGUUUUAUAUCUCUGCGCUCAAUAUUUAUUUGCAGCAGUCGCAUCGCUCGUGAGGAUUUCAAUUAGACACCUCUGAUGGUUUCGUAACCUCUUUGUUUUGUGUGCUAAGACAAAGCACCUUAUUACUUACCGAGCUUGAAAACACCAAACUGUUUCACCAAAUGUAAUUUCCUUGCUAAUGGGUACAAGGUUACCGUGACUCACUGUGCACAUUUUGUGUUAAUUGGACCGGGGAUGUAAACAGUGUCCAGAAAUAGUAUGCAUGUCGUAUGAACGUAUCUUGGAUGCAGGGGCGGUUUUAUAAGUAGGCACUGCAGUGUAUGCUUCUUGUCAUUAUUAACAUUAAAGUUUACUACACUUGAAUUAGGCUUAAUUAUAAUAGAUAGUUUGUUAAUAAUAUAAAAUAUUAUAGUAUUGGCUGCUUGAUGUACAUAACAUUAAAGUAUCCAAACACCUUUUGUAACCGUCACCCUCACAUGGGCCCUGGCUGGAGAUCAGCAAACUAGGGACCAGACCAUUUGAGAUUUAUUUUAGCCAGUCUCCACCCCAUUAUCAUUAGCGUCCAUCUGGCACCACCCGUGUGCAGGACUCCUAAAGGUUACUCAUUUACAUACAGUAAAUGCUCCACCAAUAAUUGCGUCCCUUUAAUCAGUUAGCAACUAGCCUGUGAGCUGUCCACCCGGUCCCUACUGUGAAAUAAAAAUCUGAUUGAAAAAGAAAACAUGAUUCGGAGUCCCUCUUUCCGUUAAACACGCAUAAUUUCGCCAUAUAUUACGAUGGGAGAUCUGAAGCUGAUUUAUUGCUGUAAUCAUUCGCCAUAUGGCACAAACAGUUUUCGCCUUAUAUUCAAAUAAGAGGAGAUUGUAAGAGGAGGUCGUAACCUCUUGCACAGCAUAAAUAAAUCUCUGUUAAUAAAUAUGCUAGGGGAGAAGCUAAGCUCUCUGUUAACAGCGCAGAGGGCUCUCUUGUUUAUAGCCCUUUAAAAUAAAACACCCCUUAGUGUGCAUAAUAACUAAACGUCCACAAACCAAAUAUGAUUUCUUUUAGGGUGUAUGUGGUAGCAGUGAUUUCCUCUUUAAGCUAUUAUGUCUGAGCACUUUAAGUUAUUAUUUAUUCAUCUUCAUGUUCCAAUGCAGUAUAAAAGUCUAUGUAUGUGUUUGUGUAUAUAUAUGUAUUAGUAUGAAAAAGUGCAUGAAUAUACAGUAAGUAGCUGUAUCUUUUCUUCAUUUUCUGAUGCAAACAUGAAGUGUCGCACUGGUUCGCGGGAAGAUGAUGACAUGAUGGAGGUGAUGCGGUGGGCCCGUAUGAGUGACAGGUGUUUGGCAGAGUGCUAAAGGCUGCCAUGGGAGUCUAGGCCCUGUCGAAGAGAUUUGCAUCAAGGCACCACUGGCGUUCCUCUUCUCUCUCUGGAGAGCGGCACACAUCAAUCCAGAAUCAACAAACAGCUCCACUAAUGAAUGGCCGCCCCAUGACUCUGAGCUUUUGAACAGUGUUGACUGCUUCUUGCCUCCAGACCCAUGACAUUGAAAGUCAUUGCUGGAUUCCAGAGGACAGGUGACCUAGAGGUUGCUUAAAGGUGCUCUAUGAAUGGGUGUGGCUGGGUGAGCAGAUGAGAUUGUAGGGUCAGGUCGGCUGCGUGCUAGGGGUCAUGGUUUGUGAGGACCAGUGAUGUCUCAGAUGUGCUGCAGGGCAGCUAUGCCAGUCACCACAGUGACAUCACCACCCACUUCAAAACCUGUGAUGCCAAACUUUGAAAGAGUAUGUCACUGCAAAUAUGACACACACUGACAGGCGGUAUAGUAUGAUGGUCACCUGAUGCUGAUCUGAAUCUUCAGUGUAUGGUUUUGGAUAUACUGCGAGUCUGCCAGACCUUAGAUUCGCAUGCUUGACAACCAGAUACAAUAUAAUAUAACAAUAUAAUACAAA